GACGAACGCUGGCGGCGUGCUUAACACAUGCAAGUCGAACGCUGAAGCUUGGUGCUUGCCCUGGGUGGCUGAGUGGCGAACGGGUGAGUAAUAAGUGAGUAACCUGCCCUUGACUCUGGGAUAAGCCUGGGAAACUGGGUCUAAUACUGGAUACGACAUGUCACCGCAUGGUGGUGUGUGGAAAGGGUUUUACUGGUUUUGGAUGGGCUCACGGCCUAUCAGCUUGUUGGUGGGGUAAUGGCUCACCAAGGCGACGACGGGUAGCCGGCCUGAGAGGGUGACCGGCCACACUGGGACUGAGACACGGCCCAGACUCCUACGGGAGGCAGCAGUGGGGAAUAUUGCACAAUGGGCGGAAGCCUGAUGCAGCGACGCCGCGUGAGGGAUGACGGCCUUCGGGUUGUAAACCUCUUUCAGCACGGAAGAAGCGAAAGUGACGGUACGUGCAGAAGAAGCGCCGGCUAACUACGUG
rnacentral:rRNA from 1 species